UACGUAGGGGGCAAGCGUUGUCCGGAUUUAUUGGGCGUAAAGAGCGUGUAGGCGGCUUGGUAGGUCCGCUGUGAAAACUCGAGGCUCAACCUCGAGAUGUCGGCGGAAACCAUCUGGCUAGAGUCCGGAAGAGGAGAGUGGAAUUCCUGGUGUAGCGGUGAAAUGCGCAGAUAUCAGGAAGAACACCUAUGGCGAAGGCAGCUCUCUGGGACGGUACUGACGCUGAGACGCGAAAGCGUGGGGAGCGAACAGG
rnacentral:rRNA from 1 species